ACUCCUAAGGGAGGCAGCAGUGGGGAAUAUUGCACAAUGGGCGCAAGCCUGAUGCAGCCAUGCCGCGUGUGUGAAGAAAGGCCUUCGGGUUGUAAAGCACUUUCAGUCGUGAGGAAGGUAGUGUACGUUAAUAGCUGCAUUAUUUGACGUUAGUCGACAGAAGAAGCACCGGCUAACCUCCGUGCCAGCAGCCGCGGUAAUACGGAGGGUGCGAGCGUUAAUCGGUAAUUACUGGGCGUAAAGCGCAUGCAGGUGGUUUGUUAAGUCGAGAUGUGAAAGCCCGGGGCUCAACCUCGGAAUAGCAUUUGAAACUGGCAGACUAGAGUACUGUAGAGGGGGGUAGAAUUUCAGGUGUAGCGGUGAAAUGCGUAGAGAUCUGAAGG
rnacentral:rRNA from 1 species